rnacentral:tRNA from 1 species
GGGGUCAUAGCUCAGCUGGGAGAGCGCAUGAAUGGCAUUCAUGAGGUCGACGGUUCGAUCCCGUCUGGCUCCACCA